GAUGAACGCUGGCGGCGUGCCUAAUACAUGCCAGUCGAGCGAACAGACGAGGAGCUUGCUCCUCUGACGUUAGCGGCGGACGGGUGAGUAACACGUGGAUAACCUACCUAUAAGACUGGGAUAACUUCGGGAAACCGGAGCUAAUACCGGAUAAUAUAUUGAACCGCAUGGUUCAAUAGUGAAAGACGGUUUUGCUGUCACUUAUAGAUGGAUCCGCGCCGCAUUAGCUAGUUGGUAAGGUAACGGCUUACCAAGGCGACGAUGCGUAGCCGACCUGAGAGGGUGAUCGGCCACACUGGAACUGGGACACGGGCCAGACGCCUACGGGAGGCAGCAGUAGGGAAUCUUCCGCAAUGGGCGAAAGCCUGACGGAGCAACGCCGCGUGAGUGAUGAAGGUCUUCGGAUCGUAAAACUCUGUUAUUAGGGAAGAACAAUGUGUAAGUAACUAUGCACGUCUUGACGGUACCUAAUCAGAAAGCCACGGCUAACUACGUG
rnacentral:rRNA from 1 species